UUUUCCUCACUGAGACAUUUACAGGAUCUUUCCUCUCAACACAGAUGUCACUUGAUAUAGACGUCUGCCACAACAUACUUAUCCUCGGAACUGCCAUACUUGUGUCAGAUUUGAUUGAAAUUAGCCUGGAGGCUCCCUAGAGGGGACAGCAGCCUGCUGGCCAGCUUUUUGAGCAAUGGGCACCACAGCAUCACACAAGACGGGUCUGAAUAAGAGAGGAGUGUUGUCAGAAGCAGAAAUGACAAGGAACCUGUUUCAGACAUCUUGCACUGGGGAAUUAACUUCCCAUCCCAGCUCCUUCCCGCAUGGCAAAUGGGAGCCAUGGAGCUGGAAAACACAGCUGGGCUCACAGCCUUAAUUAAUAUUGCAAACGAGCUGGGGAUGGGAUGCCAUCAGACAGGUUCCAGAUGCGCCCUGACCUUUGCUGUCAGCAGGUCUGCAAAGUCCUAAGUUGAAGCCAAGGGGAAAUUCAGCACUGAGUUGUGGGGAACCAGCAUUUUGCCUCCUCCUGCAGCCUGCUGUUCCCGUGCUGGGCCAGAACCUACCGUCACCUCUUUGGGAUGCAACAACCCAUCUGUGUGGCCUUUGCCUGCUUUGAUAACCUCCAGGGUCGGUCUUUCAGCUUUUAAAAUGACAAGAAUGCUCGUUGCUCCACGAGUCCUUCCUCUGUUACCUGCUAAGGUGGAAACUCAGCUUUUGGGCUGGUGUUGUCCGAUGGCCACUGCUGUUGUGGAAAGGGUAAGGUUUGUGACAUCUACACCAAUAAAGCCACUGCUCUGGGAACUAAAUGACAGCCCAGCGCUUGCCAGAGAGAAAAGAAGAGACCUGAGCUUCUCUUCCCCAGGGAAAAUAAGUGCAAAUAAUGCACUCAUAAAAGAAGGAGGAAAAACCAAGUACUUUCCGUUCUCCUUUACAUGCUUACAAGAAAGCAAUUCAGGCUUGGCACUUGCAUAUAUUCAAUAAAAAAUUCUUGUGACUUCGUUUCUUUCCAGAGCAGUCAACCACACUGCUUGAUACGCCGUGACCUUGAAACAUAAUGAAGCAUUGAAAAGCAAAUCCGGCGGUACAGAAAGGAAGUGUGUUUUACCCUGCAAGAGGAGGCUGCAGCCCACGCCGAGCCGUGCCGGGACUUUGCAUCCCUGGCUUGGACAGGAUGCUGCGAGGAGCUGGUAGGAGAAAGCAUUUCUUGGCAGGGCAGCAGCCUUCACAUUAAUCACUUCCAUCACUCUGUUGCUGGGAGAAUAUCCGUCAGGAACAAAAGCUAUUUUAUUUUGUGCAAUUGGACCCAGGGAGGAGGAGAAACUCUGUACAGGAAACGGCAGCAUUAACUCAGAGAUUGCAACCUUGCUAUUGCAAUUAGGAGCUUUGGUUUGUUCACCAGGCUGGGAAUUAAGGACAGGAAUUACGAGGGGAUCGUUCGGCUUACAGUGGGAGUGUGAGAGGGAAUCUGGCUAGGAAAAGAGGGCUGGAAACGGGUGUGAACACAAAAUGGUUUGCCCACAGGAAUGGGUGCAGGGUGCUCGAGGCACAUGGAUGGGGCAGAUGCUCAGGUGCUGGUGGAGGAGGCUGGGAAGCACCUGUGGUGUAAGGCUGGGCCCUGGGCCUCUCUUAUCUCUCACCUCCGUCUCUUUGCUUUCUUUUGUUCAUUCAUCCCAGCAGCCAAAGAAAUUAAACCCAUUCCGGAAGCCCUGUCAUUUGCUCUGCAUACUUCCUCACGCGGCUUAACAAAAUAAUCCUUGUUAUUACUGGGAAGUGAUCAUUACCUGGAUGGGUGUUUGCCUUCACCUCGUGCACCGGGGCUGGAUGCUUGGUGCGAGUGGCCACAGAGGCGACGAGAUUCGUGUGGAGGUUGGAAAUGGGCGUCUCAAGGAAAAGCAAAACAAGAAGACAGGUUUACUGACGUAGCAUAGCUACUGCUUUUGCCUUCAGCCAUUGCAAUAGCUGGAGAGCUUGCACAAUGUUUGUAAUGCACAGACAAGGAAGGAAUGGAAAAAAAAUCCUCCCAACUCCAGCUACAAAUUGGGUAAAUACACAUUCAAAGCAGAGACUUGUGUCAGAGGAGUAAGUUUGCCUUGCUUUCAUUACAGCCCAGUGUAAUCUAAUUCAGAAAAUGAAGCAGAAAAAUCCAUUUGGAGAGCUUGGCAGAAGGAAGAUGAUGCUUUGUUUGCCCAUUUGAAAUGCAUUGAGAAUUAUUUAUUAGAAACUUUUGUGGGUAAUUGGUUUUGAAAUGAGAUCAAGUCCGCAGGAAAGUUAUACAUACAAAAUAAAUCUUGUCUGAAUCAUUUAUUUAGUUUAUACUAGUCAUAAAACAGAGUACCCUGACCGAACAGCAUUCAAACACCUGUAAGUGCAGGCUGUGUCAUGGAUUUCCGGAGCUUGCCUUGCUCCCUGCCAAGGGAUGCAAAAACAAAACGAGCCCUGCUCACCUGGAAGCCAGCAAUAACUCUGCCACCCAUUUCUGUAGGAGAUCUGUCUUGCUACAGCACAACCCAGGAGGCACAUCUCAAACUGCCAGCUGCCAAGGGCCCC